rnacentral:rRNA from 1 species
CUACGGGAGGCUCCAGUGGGGAAUAUUGGACAAUGGGGGAAACCCUGAUCCAGCAAUGCCGCGUGUGUGAAGAAGGCCUGCGGGUUGUAAAGCACUUUCGGUUGGGAGGACUGCUUCUAGCACUAAUAUUGUUGGAAGUUGACGUUACCUUCAGAAGAAGCACCGGCUAACUCCGUGCCAGCAGCCGCGGUAAUACGGAGGGUGCAAGCGUUAAUCGGAAUUACUGGGCGUAAGGCGCGCGUAGGCGGCUAGAUCAGUCGGGUGUGAAAGCCCCGGGCUUAACCUGGGAACUGCAUCCGAUACUGUCUAGCUUGAGUACAGGAGAGGAGAGUGGAAUUCCACAUGUAGCGGUGAAAUGCGUAGAUAUGUGGAGGAACACCAAUGGCGAAGGCAGCUCUCUGGCCUGAUACUGACGCUGAGGUGCGAAAGCGUGGAGAGCAAACAGGAUUAGAUACCCCCGUAGUC